rnacentral:lncRNA from 1 species
UUGGAACAAUUAUUUCUCCAAUUUAAGACCAGAUGCAAGUUUUAAAUGUACAUUGUAUAUCAAUAUUUUAAUGUGAUGAACUGAAUGUCUAAACAAAUACAAUAUUCUAGUGAUAAUUAUUCAUCCUAUAAUACUACAUACACCUUUAACAAUCCAUGCAUUACAAUUCUAGUAUAACUUGUGCACGAACGAAAUGACUCCUUGGUACUCCGACCAUACACCGGUUGCUCAAGCCUCUUCUUAAAUCGCUAAAAGCACCUCACUUUCAAGUCACCAACACUAAUAGCAGUGAGGCUAAGGUCAUACUCAGCAAUUGGAAACUGGAUAAUGAGAUGACGGCCUUAGAUUCUACAAUUAGCGGCUGCAAAUAAAAAAAGGAGGAGGAAAAAAGACUGCUGUUAUAAAACGAGGCAUGCUAUAUUGUAUCAUAACAUAAAGCAGACUAACAUCUUGACCAAAAAUGGAUGACAACCACUGAUACCGGCAGGUUAGACGCUUUAUAUCUUCAACUGACGUCUUAUAUUUAUUUCAAUAAUCUCACCCAAUUACAAAAGGUAAAUGUUGAACAUUUCCCAAAUUCCUAAAGGAAUCAUUUCCUUUCUAUUGUUCUUCUCCUUGCAUGCCAACAGGGAAAGAGCAUCAGACAUAUCUGUCAAGGAUAGUAAUGGUGAUUAACUCCAUCGGCAUGCGAGACAAGCCUAAGAGUUUGGAAGGGCAGUCAUCCAAAUAACUACGGUCAUCCGAAUGAAUAACACAACCUUCAGUAACAAGUCAGGGGCGGCCCAAGGGUCAAACCACUUAAAUUUUGAGGGGCCCAAAUUUUUCUUUUGUUUUUCUACUCUUAUUUGUAGUGAG